UUUGUUAAAUGGUGGAGCCUUGCUUGAUACAGAACUCUUCGUUCUUGUUUCUUCACUAAAAGGAAGAGGAGACCGUGGUCUUGAAUGGCAUAGUUCUUCAAUGGCCUUGGGAAAGAAAGCCAGCACUUUAUUUUUGUGUAGCCCAGCAUCAGUGUUUGGUACAAGGCACUUGGCUGUAUUUGACACCUUUCCCUAGAUUACAGAAUGAUGUGUCUUUAAGUACUAUUUUUCUUGGAAGUGCUAUUAAAAAAAAGCCCAACCUGUAAAGAAUCUUAAUUGUUCAGAUACUUACUUACGUUUUUUAAUGCUUCCACAAAAUCACUUUAAGAAAACUGAAUUCAUUUCAGAGUUUUGUAGGUCACAGAGUUCAUAUUUCUUGUUGCUUUCUACAGUGGCUCUGCUGUACCGUGGAGAUUAAAAAUGGCUCAGGAUAAGGUAAUUGAGGCACUCUACUACUUGAGUCCCAAAGGAAACUUUGAAAUGUGGACUUCUGACUAUAGCUUCUGAAAGUUCCAGCUGCUGGAUCCUCUUUCUUUUAGUAUCAUGGUGUCCAAAAGCUUUCUUUGAACUUCAUCUUGCAACUUCCAGCCUGUGAUGUUUCACUGGUUCUUUGUGGGAACUAUUUUUUGGUCUUGUCCCACUUCUUGUGCAGCAACUGCACAGCAUUGUGGGAUCCCCUUUGCAGAUAACUCUCCUCUUUGUGCAAAUGAUCUGUUGUUCAAUUGGCUGUUUAUUGUGUGCAGGUGGAAACAGAGAGUAGCCCUGUGAAGCUAUUUGCCUGUUCACUUAAUCGUGUUGUGGAAGCCAAGGAGAGAGGUAGACAAGAGCUGGAUAGACUCGAAGAGUGCCAAGGGAAGUACCUGCCAAAGGAUUGGUUUCCCUCUCAGUUUGCAGAGCAGUCCAGAAGGAGAUGUGUGCUUUCAGAGUCUCUUCCCCUCGAGUUGCAGCUUCUGGCUUGCUCUCUCACAACCUUGAUGCAAGUGGUAGUCAAAGAGUGACAGCCUUUGGUGGAUCACACUUCAGCUUGAGUAUCUCAGUGCAGCACGAUUGAGCUAGUUCAUUUGCUGCACCUGAUGUGUUCCUGCAUUGGUAGAUGUGGCAGAAAAAAUGGUCUAGAAAACUACUGCACUGCUUUUUCUUGCUAGGGAAACCCUGUGCUUGGAAGUCUUUGUGUGGUGCUCUUGCAAGUUUCUUCUCUUGCCUUUGUGAUGCCUGAGCAGCACAGUGGGAAUACUUCAGGGCAAAAGCCUGUGCUCAGCAAUGUCAACUGACUUUUGACCUUUCAAAUAUAUUCUGUCAUCAGACUGAAAAGAUCAGCCAUUGCUGUUUUACAUUGAAUCUUGCCUUUUAUGCAUCUGCCAGAGGUACUCCCAAACACUAUACAAACACUUUUAAUUUAUAUCUGCAACAGCUGGACUCAAACAUGUCAAAUGAAUACAAACUGCCAUUGAAGAAACCAGGAUUCAAGGAAUGGGAAGAUGGAACUGUCGGUAUCCUCAUUGCUGCAGGGUAGAGGUACUCUGUGAGCUUCGAGCUCAGAACCAAGUACUGAAAAAGGGUGUUGUAGAUGAGCAAGCAAACUCUGCUUCUCUGAAGGAGCAACUGAAGAUGAAGGAUCAAUCACUGAGAAAACUGCAACAGGAAAUGGACAGCUUGACCUUUCGAAAUCAGCAACUUGCCAAGCGGGUGGAGUUACUUCAAGAUGAACUUGCAUUAAGUGAAGCUAGGGGCAAGAAGAACAAGAAAAGUGCAGAAUCCUCAUCUCAGUUGAGUCAAGAGCAGAAAAGUGUCUUCAGUGAAGAUCUUCAGAAGAAGAUAGAAGAGAAUGAACGACUACAUAUACUUUUCUUUGAAGCAGAUGAGCAGCACAAACGUUUAGAAGCGGAGCUGAGAACUAGACUUGAAGUUUUGGAAACUGAUGCUGCCCAGCAUCAAGCUGUGGUGGACAGUUUAACAAAGAAAUACACGGAUACUAUAGAAAAGCUGCAGAAUGAUAAAGCCAAAUUAGAAAUCAAGUCUCAGACACUAGAAAGAGAAGCAAAGGACUGUAGGCUUCGAACCGAAGAAUGCCAGCAACAGUUAAAGAAUCUUCAAGCAGCUUUGGGCAGUAGACUGGAAGAAUCUCUAUGCAUAAUCAAUGAAAAAGUACCUUUUAAUGACACAAGAUCUAAUCGAUACAAUGCUCUGAAUGUACCGAUACACAACAGAAGAUACCAGCUGAAGUUGCGAGACCUUGCUGGCCAGGCACUGGCUUUUGUUCAGGAACUUGUAACUGCUCUUUUGAACUUCCAUACAUACACUGAGCAGAAGGUACAGAUCUUUCCCAUUGAUUCUGCAACAGAUACUAUAUCACCAUUAAAUCAGAAGUUCUCACAGUAUCUUCAUGAAAAUGCUUCAUAUGUUCGCCCUCUGGAGGAAGGAAUGCUUCACUUGUUUGAGAGUAUUACAGAAGAUACUGUGACAGUCCUGGAAACAACUGUGAAAAUGAAGGCCUUCUCAGAACAUCUAGCUUCCUACUUAUGCUUUUUAAGAAAGAUUCUUCCUUAUCAGUUAAAAAGUUUGGAAGAAGAGUGUGAGUCUUCUCUUUGCACAGCUGCUUUAAGAGCUAGAAAUAUGGAGCUACACAGAGACAUGAAAAGGUUGACUGCAGUCUUUGAGAAGCUACAUACAUACGUUAGUCUUCUUGCAUUACCAAGUACAAAACCAGAAGGACUUCUUAGGACAAAUUACAACUUGGUGUUUACAAACAUUGCUACAAGUCUUCAUGGAUUUCAUGAUGUUUUAAAAGAUAUUUCCAAGCACUACAGUCAAAAGGCUACUUUAGAACAAGACGUUCCAACUGCCACACAAAAACUCAUAACUACAAAUGACUGUAUUUUAUCCUCUGUUGUGGCUUUAACAAAUGGAGUGGGCAAGAUUGCCGCGUUCUUUAGCAACAACUUGGAUCACUUCACUGCUUCGUUGAGCUAUGGCCCCAAAGGAGGAACGGAGUUCAUCAGUCCUCUUUCAGCUGAGUGUAUGCUGCAGUACAAGAAGAAGGCGGUUGCUUAUAUGAAGUCUUUGAAGAAGCCUUGUGCAGAUUCAGUGCCUUAUGAAGAGGCUUUGGCUAAUCGCAGAGUUCUUCUGAGUUCCACAGAAAGUAGAGAAGGUCUUGCACAACAGGUCCAGCAGAGUUUGGAGAAAAUUGCAAAACUUGAACAAGAAAAAGAACAUUGGAUGUUGGAGGCCCAGCUAGCGAAAAUAAAGCUAGAGAAAGAAAACCAAAAAUUGAAGAACUCUCUUAGUGGACAUUUAACUGAAACUAUACAAGAGCGUUCUGUUUUGCCAAACGUAGCUGAACAAAAGAAGGAAACGACAGAAAAGAGUCCAAGGGAACCUAUUAAAAGUACUAGUCUGAUUGGAAUGUUGACUAUAACCACUGAUAAUGAAAAGGCUCCAGAUGCUGAGUCUCGUGAAGACCUGAUAAAAAACCACUAUAUGGCAAGGAUAGCAGAACUUACAUCUCAUCUGCAGCUUGCUGACAGCAAAUCAGUACACUUUCAUGCUGAGUGUCGAGCACUUGCCAAAAGACUGUCUUUAGCAGAGAAGUCCAAGGAAUCGCUCACAGAAGAGUUGAAACUAGCUAGUCAAAACAUCAGUAGAUUACAGGAUGAAUUGAUGACAACAAAGAGAAGUUAUGAGGAUCAGUUAAGUAUGAUGAGUGACCAUCUCUGCAGUAUGAAUGAAACAUUAACUAAACAAAGGGAAGAAAUUGAUACACUAAAGAUGACUAGUAAGUAUCUAUUUGGAAAUGUGUUUGGGUGUCCCCCUUGCCAAUCAGCAGUAAUCAUGCUCAGAAAGAAACAAUUUUGAUCACUCAAGCUGCCUUCAGUUUUUCAAGGAAAUGUUUUCAAGAGAUCCUCAAAUCCUUCCUCUGUGAACCAUUGCCGUCCCUUACGCGAUACUGAGAUGGAAAUAUGAACAGCAGCGAUAUUCUGUCAGAAGCUGGCAGGGAAAUUUCAACAACACUGAGAAGCAGUGGAGCUGCACUGGGUGGAUGACGCUUUACAAAGAAUUUUUGAUGCAUUACACAAGAAGCCAGAGCUCAGUGCUGCAAGCGAGCUAUCGAUGGCAUUGGAAGCUUCUCAUACGGGUAAUGAGCAGACUUUGUGUGGUACCUUGUCACCCCUGGUAGCUGCACUCUGGAGCUGCCCAGUGUAGCAGAUGAGAAGGAAUUUCUAUUACUCAAGAUGACUGCAUUAUCCUGUUGGUAGUUAAGCCAUUUUCCAAGCCUUGUGCUAUAUGUCUUUGAAGGAAUACCUCUCUCCAGAGGAAUUCUGAAGCACGAGACAACCUGUCCUGUCUUGGAGCUGAGAGGUGUUUGCUUUGGGAGGGCUCUGCAGAGGGUGAACAGAGGGCGAGACCUGACCUGGGCUUGGUCUUCCCACAUUGCAGCUUCGUCUUUCCAUCACUCUGCUGGUUUUUAGGAAGACUUGGUAAUUUUGAUAGCCAACAUUGAAGAAAAAGAAGUGAUGCUUCAGCAUUGACAGAAAUCUUCACUGCCUUGUGCUUCUCAGAGCUGCUGUUCAUCCCACCUCACGCCAUUGAAUUUACUGGAACCUGCCUCAGCCUUAUUUCCAGAAAAGCCUGUCUGCUUUGUCAUGACUUUCUGGCAAUAUCAGAACUUGUAAAACAGUCUCACCAGCUUCUCAGCCCAUGUAAAAUCAGCCUUGGCUCACCUCUGUCACGUGGCAGUCUCUUGUAUCCUCACCAGAGGCUGCCAGUGUGCUUUCUCCAAGCCUGUUCCCCAAGAGGACCAUAUCUCCUACCAACAGUGGUAGUUCACCCCUGAAGCUCCCAGUCUUUCAGGAGCUUGCCCUUCCUCGCCCUUCUUUGACUGUGCCUCAUGAUCUCUUGAGGACAAUAGUAACAGAAUUUUCUGGCUGGUCCUCCACCCAUAAACUUCUUUCCCAAGGGUUGAGUCUCUUCAUUAAAGCACAGGUACUUUUUUUUUCGUUUUUGAGGUGUCCCUUUCCUGUGGCAUGAACUUUUGGACACUGAGAAAUCCUUUACCCUUUUUUGGACAGUGUGUGCCCUUUUGGAGAUAGGAAGAUUGACACUGCAGAGAAGGAAACGGCUGUUCUUACACAACGCAGAAAAUCACCCUGGCUUAAGAGCUAAGAAACUCUUAAGUUUAUAUAUCUGAUGUGAGCUAAAUGGCUGUGGAGCUCUACCUGGACUUUCCAGCCAGCACAGUGCUACCACAGAGACAUCUAGGAAGGGUGCACAGCUGAAGAGAGUGAUCCUGGAGUCCUUGUCCUCAUUAGAGACUUGAGGCUCCUUCAGAGGAAACUCUUUGGGAGGAGCACUCACCGUAGGAAGGAAUGAAUGGAAGUGGUGUACUUUGAGCUCUGUCCUUCGGGCCAUCAGAGACAUUGUCUAUCUCCGCUCCUCCCCAUCUUUCCUCACUUCAUGCCUGGUUGAGGG